rnacentral:lncRNA from 1 species
UUAUGAAAAAUAAACAUAAAAGGUACAUAGGUAUUCAUAAAAAAAUUAUAUUACAAAUAAAUGAAUCUUUGUUGCGAAUGGAUUAUUCUACUCCGGCGGAGUAAUUUUCAAUAUUUGGCCAUUAAGUAGGAGCAUCCGGACGGGUAACCUCAUACGGUUUCUGAGCAAGUCAAAAAAACUUGUAUAAUUGUCAAAAACUUUGUGUUUCCUACGAAUGUCAUUAAAUUUUGUACAGUGGCACACUCAACAACGUUACAAAGCCCGAGUAAUCCAGCCGAAGAGGAGCCCCAUGAUCAAGAGCCAUCUUCGCUAAUUCAUCAGCCAAUGAAGACACUUGCUCAAUUGUACAUCCAUUGACCGAGAUGACGACCUCCUUUUGCAAAGUAAGCUACCUUGGUUUUUUUAAAUAUUGAAAGAUCGAGGGAUUUGCAAUCAAUCCAAAAUCUUCCUUGACCGGUUUUCAACUGCAAACUCAAGGUCACGGUUAAAGUACAGUCAAUAAUGUAAAAAGGAAUGCCAUUAGCCUCCAUGAUACCACAUAGGGUGUCGACAUUCACACAACCUUAAAACAUUGGGAUUUCAAAAGAGUCAUCCUAAAGGGUAGCUCUUUGAUGUAAAUGGGUGCAGGUAAAUUUUUUUCUAUAUGUAAAUGAUCUUAUAGGGAUCAAACCAUUUUCAUUCAAUAAAUCGGACAAUCUAGCGAAAAUUAAUAUAAUUCUCCAAGUUCUAAUUCCUUUUAGGAAUAGGUACAAUUUUUAUUUUCCUCCAUGCAAAAGUAGACAUUAAAAGCGUGAAAUAGGGAAUCUGGAUUGUAUCGAUAGGGCUUUUAACAUGACAUAAGUGACACGAUCACAUCCACCAGCCGAUCUUGACUUUAUAUUUUCCAAAACGUUAUCCAGUUCAAAUCUAGUAAAAAUCUGGAAAACUCAACCAGUGUGUCAUCCGGAACCUGUGCCCUCAGGUGUUCAAGAUAAGGUAAAUUAUCACCUUUAUCCCAUAAAUACAGUCGAAUCUCCAACAACAACCUGGCAAUUUGAGUGUUAACUUCAAUAAGUAUUGUAAUAUUUUAGAGAACUCGUCUUAAUUCCUUACUGCUGUAUAUUUUAAAGAAAGUAUUUUCAGAGUAUUAUAGUCCAGAUAAUAUAAAUUUGUGUUGUCGCAAUAUUGGCUGUCUCAUAUCUAAAAUGUGUCAAUCUUAUUAUAGGUGGUGUUAAAAAGUUCAGAUAAUUUUCUAUUUUAUUAUAUAAAUUUAAGUUUGAUUCAAAUAUUUCAAUAAAGAAUACAUAAAACAUAUUUGAAAACCAUAUUAUUGUUAUUAUUAUGUAUAUUUAAUAUUAAGACAAAUACAAUUAGAUUAUUUAACAUUGGAAUUCGAAAAUAUAUAAAAUGUAGUAUAUGUAGCAUAUCCUAAAUUAAGAGAAAAAAUAUUCUUAUUCAAACAUUGUUCGCAUCCACUAUUUUAUCAAUGAAUACAUUGUAGAUUGCAGUUACUAGUUCUUAAAUCUUUACACUCUCUGUAAAAAUCUUUAAUAUACAUAUGUAAUUAUAUGUGUAUAUUCCUUGCAUAGUUUCUUAAGUAUUACGUAUUUUUCCGGGAACAUAAUUUUUAUCAAUGACACUCUCUUGUAAAAACAUGUGUAGACACCUUUCAUUCUGAGCCAAAGGAUGACCGGCAAUUUUGUUGAUAAAAGCCUCCAAACCUUUGCGUCGUUCUUCGAUGAAAUUUUCAUCGAAAAUGCCUUCGUCAU